UUCCCUCUUUCUUUCCUGUGAACUCCAAACCUGAACCCUCGCUCUUUCUUUCCCUCUUUAUUUCCGAGUUGUGAUAAAUCUGGAACCCUCCCUCCUUGAACCCUCCUUCUUUCCCCUUCUUUCGAACCCAAUCUGGAACCCUCAAUUCCCUGUACACCCCAAAUCUCCCUCUCUUUCUUUCCCUCUUUCUUUCCACGCAAACCCCAAUCUGGAACCCUCCUUGAACCCCUCUGUCUUUCCCUGUAGACCCCAAAUCCUGUCGAAUCAAAUCCCAAAUUCAAGGGCCAUACAAGUUGUCGCACAAGCUACCGCUAAAUGCUCUGAUUAUAUCUUUCAAGCUCUCAAACCAAGCGAGUCAACCACUGCCAGCACUCUUGUUGCUUAGGUUGGUUUUGCAACUUGCUACCGCUCUGUGAUUAGCUUGGGUUGAUGAGGUAUGCUUCGGAAAGCUAAAAAGGAAGAUGGUGGUAUUGCCGAUUUGGGGUUUUAGUGACUAAUCAGACUUGUCCAAGUUGGGGUUUUGCCGAAAUUCAAUGAUUUUGAUAUACUUGUGGCCAACCCUAGAAAACAAAAAUUAUACAUCCAAGUCAACGAUUGGAUUCGCAGACUUAACUAUUGGUACAAGAGAGGCGGAAGUGACGCAGCUGAGGGUCGAGGAUAAGCAAAUGAUGGCGUAGCUGAGGGCCCAGGGCGAUGAGAUGAAGACCUGUGUCGGGAGGGUGCAAGAACUUGUACAAGCCAUACAGAUGUCGAGCCUCCAAAUCUCGCUACCAGCACCUCAUCUUACUCCACCUUCGACCUUAAAGCCACCUUGCCCUGCCGAUACCCAGUAGCCUGAUGUAUUAAACUUAGUCCACUUGUAGUUUUUUCUUUUUGUUUGGACAUCUUGUAUGUACAUUUUCAUAUAUUUUAUAAUUAAAUAUUUUUGCUUGGUUAAUUAAUUAUUCUUUAGAAUUUAA